rnacentral:lncRNA from 1 species
GCUUGCUCAGUGACUCAACUCAAGAGUGGUGUUGUGUGAGAGAGAGAAGAAGAAGGAGAAAGAUAAAAAAAAAUGGGAGGAAAAGGUGCGAUGAUGGUGGCGAUACUCUGCCUUUGGGCACUCUCUGCAACAUCAGAAGCAGUUGUAACAGAGGAGGAGCCCGGCUUGAUGAUGAACUUCUACAAGGACACGUGUCCUCAGGCCGAAGACAUCAUCCGUGAACAAGUCAAACUCCUCUACAAACGCCACAAGAACACCGCUUUUUCUUGGCUCCGUAACAUCUUCCACGACUGCGCCGUGGAGGUCCCAACUCUCUCUCUCUCUCUUACUCUCUCUCUGUCUCUAGAUCUCUCUUUCUCUCAAUGAUAUUUCAUGUUUUGCGUGAUGGGAUAGGAUUUCUUGGAUGAUUUUAGUGGAAAAGUACCAAUCGUUGUGUAAAACAUAGCUUAAGGUUAGAACUUUUUACUUGAAACAGAGCUAAAGAUUAACUCUGUUUUGUAAUACAGUC